rnacentral:tRNA from 1 species
GGUGUGGCUCAGUGGAUAGAGCAUCGGCCAGUGGACCGAAAGGUCCCGGGUUCGAAUCCCGGUCCA